rnacentral:rRNA from 1 species
ACGAACGCUGGCGGCACGCUUAACACAUGCAAGUCGAACGAGAGAAGAGAAGCUUGCUUUUCUGAUCUAGUGGCGGACGGGUGAGUAACACGUGAGCAAUCUGCCUUUCAGAGGGGGAUACCGAUUGGAAACGAUCGUUAAUACCGCAUAACAUAAUUGAACCGCAUGAUUUGAUUAUCAAAGAUUUAUCGCUGAAAGAUGAGCUCGCGUCUGAUUAGCUAGUUGGUAAGGUAACGGCUUACCAAGGCGACGAUCAGUAGCCGGACUGAGAGGUUGAUCGGCCACAUUGGGACUGAGACACGGCCCAGACUCCUACGGGAGGCAGCAGUGGGGAAUAUUGCACAAUGGAGGAAACUCUGAUGCAGCGAUGCCGCGUGAGGGAAGAAGGUUUUAGGAUUGUAAACCUCUGUCUUCAGGGACGAAAAAAGACGGUACCUGAGGAGGAAGCUCCGGCUAACUACGUGCCAGCAGCCGCGGUAAUACGUAGGGAGCGAGCGUUGUCCGGAAUUACUGGGUGUAAAGGGAGCGUAGGCGGGAUCGCAAGUCAGAUGUGAAAACUAUGGGCUUAACCCAUAAACUGCAUUUGAAACUGUGGUUCUUGAGUGAAGUAGAGGUAAGCGGAAUUCCUAGUGUAGCGGUGAAAUGCGUAGAUAUUAGGAGGAACAUCAGUGGCGAAGGCGGCUUACUGGGCUUUAACUGACGCUGAGGCUCGAAAGCGUGGGGAGCAAACAGGAUUAGAUACCCUGGUAGUCCACGCCGUAAACGAUGAUUACUAGGUGUGGGGGGACAGACACCUUCCGUGCCGCAGCAAACGCAAUAAGUAAACCACCUGGGGAGUACGACCGCAAGGUUGAAACUCAAAGGAAUUGACGGGGGCCCGCACAAGCAGUGGAGUAUGUGGAUUAAUUCGAAGCAACGCGAAGAACCUUACCAGGUCUUGACAUCGUAUGCAUAGCUCAGAGAUGAGUGAAAUCUCUUCGGAGACAUAUAGACAGGUGGUGCAUGGUUGUCGUCAGCUCGUGUCGUGAGAUGUUGGGUUAAGUCCCGCAACGAGCGCAACCCUUACUGUUAGUUGCUACGCAAGAGCACUCUAGCAGGACUGCCGUUGACAAAACGGAGGAAGGUGGGGAUGACGUCAAAUCAUCAUGCCCCUUAUGACCUGGGCCUCACACGUACUACAAUGGCUGUCAACAGAGGGAAGCAAAGCCGCGAGGUGGAGCAAACCCCUAAAAGCAGUCUUAGUUCGGAUUGUAGGCUGCAACCCGCCUACAUGAAGUCGGAAUUGCUAGUAAUCGCAGAUCAGCAUGCUGCGGUGAAUACGUUCCCGGGCCUUGUACACACCGCCCGUCACGCCAUGGGAGUCGGUAACACCCGAAGCCUGUAGUCUAACCGCAAGGAGGACGCAGUCGAAGGUGGGAUUGAUGACUGGGGUG